GGAAGCGUGGCAGAGUGGUAAUGCAACUGUCUUGAAAACAGUAGGCUCGCAAGGGCCCGUGAGUUCGAAUCUCACCGCUUCCUCCA
rnacentral:tRNA from 1 species